UGGGGAAUCUUGGACAAUGGGGGCAACCCUGAUCCAGCCAUGCCGCGUGAGUGAUGAAGGCCUUAGGGUCGUAAAGCUCUUCGCCUGUGAAGAUAAUGACGGUAGCAGGUAAAGAAACCCCGGCUAACUCCGUGCCAGCAGCCGCGGUAAUACGGAGGGGGUUAGCGUUGUUCGGAAUUACUGGGCGUAAAGCGCACGUAGGCGGACCAGAAAGUUGGGGGUGAAAUCCCGGGGGCUCAACCCCGGAACUGCCUCCAAAACUAUUGGUCUAGAGUUCGAGAGAGGUGAGUGGAAUUCCAAGUGUAGAGGUGAAAAUUCGUAGAUAUUUGGAGGAACACCAGUGGCGAAGGCGGCUCACUGGCUCGAUACUGACGCUGAGGUGCGAAAGUGUGGGGAGCAAACAGGAUUAGAUACCCUGGUAGUCCACACCGUAAAACGAUGAAUGCCAGUCGUCGGGUAGCAUGCUAUUCGGUGACACACCUAACGGAUUAAGCAUUCCGCCUGGGGAGUACGGUCGCAAGAUUAAAACUCAAAGGAAUU
rnacentral:rRNA from 1 species